ACGUACCCUUCGGUUCGGAAUAAUCCCAGGGCAAACUUGGGCUUAAUACCGUAUACGUCCGUAAGGAGAAAGAUUUAUCGCCGGAGGAUCGGCCCGCGUCCGAUUAGCUAGUUGGUGAGGUAAUGGCUCACCAAGGCGACGAUCGGUAGCUGGUCUGAGAGGAUGAUCAGCCUCACUGGGACUGAGACACGGCCAGACUCCAUAACGGGAGGCAGCAGUGGGGAAUAUUGGACAAUGGGCGCAAGCCUGAUCCAGCCAUGCCGCGUGGGUGAUGAAGGCCUUAGGGUUGUAAAGCCCUUUCGGCGGGGAAGAUAAUGACGGUACCCGCAGAAGAAGCCCCGGCUAACUUCGUGCCAGCCGCCGCGG
rnacentral:rRNA from 1 species